rnacentral:rRNA from 1 species
UGGGGAAUUUUGGACAAUGGGGGCAACCCUGAUCCAGCCAUGCCGCGUGCGGGAAGAAGGCCUUCGGGUUGUAAACCGCUUUUGGUCGGAAAGAAAGGGCUUGGGUUAAUACCCUGGGUCUUUGACGGUACCGGCAGAAUAAGCACCGGCUAACUACGUGCCAGCAGCCGCGGUAAUACGUAGGGUGCGAGCGUUAAUCGGAAUUACUGGGCGUAAAGCGUGCGCAGGCGGUUUGCUAAGUCCGCUGUGAAAGCCCCGGGCUCAACCUGGGAAUGGCAGUGGAAACUGGCGAGCUAGAGUGUGGCAGAGGGGGGUGGAAUUCCACGUGUAGCAGUGAAAUGCGUAGAGAUGUGGAGGAACACCAAUGGCGAAGGCAGCCCCCUGGGUUGACACUGACGCUCAGGCACGAAAGCGUGGGGAGCAAACAG